CGGGAGCCCGAGGGCCGGGCGGGAGCGACCCCGUCCCGGAUGGCACUGCCGCCCCACUCGGCGGCGCGGGGUGCCCAGGCGGAGGCACAGCCUGCGUUCUCCAACCUCGCAGUGUUUAGCUAGUUAAUCCGUCACGGCGCUCAUUGUGUGCACCGGGAACUAACUCUCAGAAAUGUGAAGACCUCAUUUCCUCAGAAAGGGGCUGAGACUGGCGAUUCCCUGGGAGACAGCCUCGUCGCGGACCACUUCAGCACAGCUUGGCAGCCUGGCAUGAUGAACAGCAGUUGGAAGUGGCAUUAGAAUCGGAAGCCAGUCUCGCCCCAUUGCUCAUCAGGGCUCACUGUUGAUGCAUCUUACACUAGCGUGUGCCCAGUUCCCAUUCCUCCUAUAGACAGAAGAACCAGCAGAGAAGUUGCACGGGGAAACUGGACUGGUCCAAAAGCAGCCCAGUGCAAAGCGGCCAGCUGCAGAGGUGGACAAGGAGCAGGAAUCCUUCCUUGAUUGGCACUCUUGUUAAAGGAGAUAUGAGAAAAACCAUGGAGUGAGAACUGCAGUCUCAGAUGACGAGAGGGUGCAGGGAGAAAACAGAAGUUAUUUAAGAACGUCACCCAAGAAUGCAUAAGUGCAGCAGAGACGCGAAGGUGGUAUAGCAUGGCAGUCCCACUGAGAUGUGUACACUUUGCUGUAUAUGGGGGUCUAGACAGAGCAUGCCCUCCUGAACUAAGCAACCUUGAGUUCAAGUCUCAGCUGAGUCACUUCUUGGCUAUGUGCUGUUAGUUGUUUUCUUUAUCUGGGGACAGAACAUAUUCAUCUUUUAGUGCUGUGAUCACUAUGCUCCUUUAAUUGUGUGAAAUCUACUCAUAAACACUCUCUGGGAGCAACUGCUUUGCACUUAAUUCUGUUGCUACACAAAAAUCCAGGGAAUGUUGUGUUUUUAACAUCUACUUUCCUGAGCUUCUGGCUUAAUAUUACCUUGGUGAACAGGCAGUUUUCAACCACAUAGUUCAUAACUUCGGUGAAAUUCAGAGUUCUAAGUUGCGUCCCCUGGCCAUGGCACAUUAUCAUCUGCGGGUCUAGGAGCAGCCAGACUGUGGACCAAGGUGACACAGAGCUAUUUCAGGUCAUGUUGUUUUCGUGGGACACUCGGUAUUUGCUGGUCCUCAGAAACCAGCCGCCAACUCAUCAGAGGGACAUAGGAUUUUCUGAGAAGAGCUGCCAGCAAUUCAUGUAAAUUGCAGUUUGAGUGCAAUCAAUAGAGGUGACAAACAGCCAGUGCUGGCGGCCGGGGGACAUAAUGAAGGUGAGACUGUGUAAACGCUCACCGAUAACAAUAGAGGGGAAAUUACAGUGCAGCUCUGUAUUGAAUAAGUGUGGUCCAAAUGAGCUGCCAUGUUCGGGUCAGCGUCCCCACUGCUCAGAGGUCUGUGCUCUUGUCCUCUGUAAUUGUUAGUGGCAGCAGAGCUGGCUGGACCUGUGGAGGGCAUGCGCUCAGCCUGCAUUUGUUCUGCAUUGCAAUCCACUCCGGAUGCCACCAGCUGAUCCAUAGUGUCAGUGACCACCUCCCAGUGGACAAGAUACCACGAAAACACCAACCCUCCUCACAGCAGAGUCAAGAGGCUUGUCAUUAAAGCAAUAACGAUUCUUGGCUCUCCUGGAAAAGGAUUAAAAUGGAAAAUCACUUUGUCUGUUAUUAAAAUGUUUUCAGUGUCUUCAGUAUCUAGGAGACAGUCUCUGAUAAGUAAAGGGAAAUAUGCUAAUAUGGUAUUUCUUGUAUAAAAGAGAAAAUUUGAAAAAUGAAAUAAAAAAAUUUCAUCUUAUACCUACACCUACAUGUACAGUGGUAGUUCCAUAAUUUUAAUAUUGUAUUUUCGUAAAACAAUGAUUUUAAAAUUUUAAUAUUUGGGAGAAUAUUAGUAGGCACUGCCAUGAUUACUUUUUAGAAGGAACUCAAAACCUAAUAGCCAACAUGAUUUUGUGAUCUGAAAAUUGCUGUACAAAUAAUUACAUAUAUUGCUUUUUAAGGUUGUUUAAAUCUCUAGUUUAAGUGUAAUAAAAAAUGAAGUUAUCUUCUAACUGUGUCAUUACAAUACUAUGUGUGUUCAAAACAUUGGGAGGGUCAAAAUAAACUAGGUCUCUACUCUCAGGUUGGUCGUGUUCUCACGUAUAAUCACAGAGCAGGUGAAAGCUAGAAAUCAAAUACAAUUUCCUGCCUUUUUAAGGUAAGGAAGCUACGGGAAAUAAGCUGGUCUGUGCCAACGGGCUUUCUCAGGGCUCGUGAGGGUGUACAGGGAAGUGCUGGACUCUCACUUUUCGCCUGCUGCAUCACAUCUCAUCCACAUACGCUGAUGGUUAUUUUUGCUUUUCCAAUGACAUGCAUCUGAUAGUCAUUGUAUUUCUCCAAACAUUGAUUUACCCACAUAACUGAGAAAUAUACUUCAGUGAAGCCAUAUCAAUGAACUCUGAUAUGUUCAUUAAUGAGUAUGUACCUUUUCUUUUCUUCAAGGUUUACAGGUACAAAAGAUUAUAUGCAUUUGAAUAA